ACUUACGUUCAUAUCUUACUGAAUAAACCAGAUCCCGUCCGAUCUCUGAAGUUAAUCAGUUGCGAGCUAUCUUAGUACUUGGAUGGGAGACCUCCUGGGAACUGUUAGUAACGUAAGUU
rfam:Strongyloides ratti strain ED321 Heterogonic genome assembly, scaffold: srae_scaffold0000008